UUUUUUUUUUUUUUUAACAAGUACAGGCAUUAGUAUGCCAACAAAUACAACUAAAGACAGGGUUUUUUUUUUUUUUUUUUUCCCCAGAAUAUCUGCUAAUUAGAAAAUGGAUGAAUCCACCUCAGGUACCACUGCCAUACAACCUCAUUACUCACCCUCUUGAAACUUUUGCUUUUACAGCAGAAACACAUUCUUUCUUAAAAUAGAAGAAUGCUACCAUUACAAGUAGUGAAAUUACUAUAAUGAUUUUUUUAUUCCUUUUAACAGAAUAACACUUUUUUGGACAUACUGUACGUAGGACUUUAUCUUUCUAUUCAUUCUAGCUAUGUUCCCAUCUAAGUGAACUACUAAGGAGACAAACACAUUUGCUGUCUGAAACAAAGUUGGAAUAUUGACUUGUUGCACAGCGUUUACUGCAGAAGCAAAACGGCUGUGGGCGUUCUUAACGCUCAUAUUGUAAGGUUACAAAGAAUAAAUUGAUCUGGAAGCACAGGACCCAUUUUCCUAAAUCUACGCAAGAACUAACAGAUGUGCAUCAGGACUAUGGAUGACAUUUUAAAAAGACAUUUAAGGCACUAUGCGCAGUCUUUUUCGUAGCCUACAUAGGCAGGACUGAAGCAGCAUUGUCAAAUAUAAUCAAUACAAAAUGAGACAAGUUAAAAACAAACAAGCCAACCAGAAAACCAACCUGAAACUCAAAUAAUUUGGUUUGAAAGUCAAGCUUUAUUAUUAAAAAGGUACAAGUAAAGGCCAAGGGUGUUUUGUUUUCCUAUUUCCAAGAUAGAACGAGGUAUGAGGACUUUGUGCCUAUGAUAUUUCUCACAAAUGUAGGGCGAGGAUUCUUUUAAAGGAUAGGUUUUGGGGGUAGGUAAGAUGCAUAAGGAGGAUAACUUAAAUUCAAAUGUGAUUGUAUGACACCUACAGUUAGGGUUUUAAAAAACACCUCUAACUUGCUAAAAAGGUUAAGUAUUGCCAAUUCAAAUGAGGGAACUGUCAGAAAAAAAAUGAAUUGCCAAGAGGCCUACCUACAGACAAGACACAGGACUUCCCUUAUGUGAAGCUGCAACCAACCAUUGCCUUCCCACAGAAAUGCAAAGCAAUACAAAUCCUCAAGUCAGUAUGUCACCUUGUAAGCCUGACACAGCUCUUUCCACGUCUGCUUCUGCAACUGGUAUUUCGACGAUCUUGAUGCCCAACGGAGAUGAGUUUACGCACCAUCGCUUUACUCUUUCCUCAUAGUUUUACACAGAUUUGUGCCUGUUUAUAGCUCCAGUUACCAGCGGUAAGAGUAUCCUUGUAAAUUUCCACACAGGCACACAAAACCUUUGCGAGGGAACGCUGCGUGAAAACGUCAAAACUUGAGCAACUCCCCAGCAUGUCCCGUAAGCAGCACCGAACGGGAUUUAAAAUGACAAGUCCUCCUCCAGAAGAGGCCCCAUGCACAGAAAUAGGCUUUGUUUGUAAGAAAGAACCACAAACCAACCAACCAGAGGGCCCUACUUCCCCCCAGUGCCAGCGCCGCUCCCUGCAU
rnacentral:lncRNA from 1 species